GAAGAGAAAGAAAAUUCGAUUCCCUUAGUAGCGGCGAGCGAAACGGGAAGAGCCCAAACCAACAAGCUUGCUUGUUGGGGUUGUAGGACACUCUAUACGGAGUUACAAAGGACGACAUUAGACGAAUCAUCUGGAAAGAUGAAUCAAAGAAGGUAAUAAUCCUGUAGUCGAAAAUGUUGUCUCUCUUGAGUGGAUCCUGAGUACGACGGAGCACGUGAAAUUCCGUCGGAAUCUGGGAGGACCAUCUCCUAAGGCUAAAUACUCUCUAGUGACCGAUAGUGAACCAGUACCGUGAGGGAAAGGUGAAAAGCACCCCGGAAGGGGAGUGAAAUAGAACCUGAAACCGUGUGCUUACAAGUAGUCAGAGCCCGUUAAUGGGUGAUGGCGUGCCUUUUGUAGAAUGAACCGGCGAGUUACGAUUUGAUGCAAGGUUAAGCAGUAAAUGUGGAGCCGUAGCGAAAGCGAGUCUGAAUAGGGCGUUUAGUAUUUGGUCGUAGACCCGAAACCAGGUGAUCUACCCUUGGUCAGGUUGAAGUUCAGGUAACACUGAAUGGAGGACCGAACCGACUUACGUUGAAAAGUGAGCGGAUGAACUGAGGGUAGCGGAGAAAUUCCAAUCGAACCUGGAGAUAGCUGGUUCUCUCCGAAAUAGCUUUAGGGCUAGCCUCAAGUGAUGAUUAUUGGAGGUAGAGCACUGUUUGGACGAGGGGCCCCUCUCGGGUUACCGAAUUCAGACAAACUCCGAAUGCCAAUUAAUUUAACUUGGGAGUCAGAACAUGGGUGAUAAGGUCCGUGUUCGAAAGGGAAACAGCCCAGACCACCAGCUAAGGUCCCAAAAUAUAUGUUAAGUGGAAAAGGAUGUGGCGUUGCCCAGACAACUAGGAUGUUGGCUUAGAAGCAGCCAUCAUUUAAAGAGUGCGUAAUAGCUCACUAGUCGAGUGACACUGCGCCGAAAAUGUACCGGGGCUAAACAUAUUACCGAAGCUGUGGAUUGUCCUUUGGACAAUGGUAGGAGAGCGUUCUAAGGGCGUUGAAGCAUGAUCGUAAGGACAUGUGGAGCGCUUAGAAGUGAGAAUGCCGGUGUGAGUAGCGAAAGACGGGUGAGAAUCCCGUCCACCGAUUGACUAAGGUUUCCAGAGGAAGGCUCGUCCGCUCUGGGUUAGUCGGGUCCUAAGCUGAGGCCGACAGGCGUAGGCGAUGGAUAACAGGUUGAUAUUCCUGUACCACCUAUAAUCGUUUUAAUCGAUGGGGGGACGCAGUAGGAUAGGCGAAGCGUGCGAUUGGAUUGCACGUCUAAGCAGUAAGGCUGAGUAUUAGGCAAAUCCGGUACUCGUUAAGGCUGAGCUGUGAUGGGGAGAAGACAUUGUGUCUUCGAGUCGUUGAUUUCACACUGCCGAGAAAAGCCUCUAGAUAGAAAAUAGGUGCCCGUACCGCAAACCGACACAGGUAGUCAAGAUGAGAAUUCUAAGGUGAGCGAGCGAACUCUCGUUAAGGAACUCGGCAAAAUGACCCCGUAACUUCGGGAGAAGGGGUGCUCUUUAGGGUUAACGCCCAGAAGAGCCGCAGUGAAUAGGCCCAAGCGACUGUUUAUCAAAAACACAGGUCUCUGCUAAACCGUAAGGUGAUGUAUAGGGGCUGACGCCUGCCCGGUGCUGGAAGGUUAAGAGGAGUGGUUAGCUUCUGCGAAGCUACGAAUCGAAGCCCCAGUAAACGGCGGCCGUAACUAUAACGGUCCUAAGGUAGCGAAAUUCCUUGUCGGGUAAGUUCCGACCCGCACGAAAGGCGUAACGAUUUGGGCACUGUCUCAACGAGAGACUCGGUGAAAUCAUAGUACCUGUGAAGAUGCAGGUUACCCGCGACAGGACGGAAAGACCCCGUGGAGCUUUACUGUAGCCUGAUAUUGAAAUUCGGCACAGCUUGUACAGGAUAGGUAGGAGCCUUUGAAACGUGAGCGCUAGCUUACGUGGAGGCGCUGGUGGGAUACUACCCUAGCUGUGUUGGCUUUCUAACCCGCACCACUUAUCGUGGUGGGAGACAGUGUCAGGCGGGCAGUUUGACUGGGGCGGUCGCCUCCUAAAAGGUAACGGAGGCGCUCAAAGGUUCCCUCAGAAUGGUUGGAAAUCAUUCAUAGAGUGUAAAGGCAUAAGGGAGCUUGACUGCGAGACCUACAAGUCGAGCAGGGUCGAAAGACGGACUUAGUGAUCCGGUGGUUCCGCAUGGAAGGGCCAUCGCUCAACGGAUAAAAGCUACCCCGGGGAUAACAGGCUUAUCUCCCCCAAGAGUUCACAUCGACGGGGAGGUUUGGCACCUCGAUGUCGGCUCAUCGCAUCCUGGGGCUGUAGUCGGUCCCAAGGGUUGGGCUGUUCGCCCAUUAAAGCGGUACGCGAGCUGGGUUCAGAACGUCGUGAGACAGUUCGGUCCCUAUCCGUCGUGGGCGUAGGAAAUUUGAGAGGAGCUGUCCUUAGUACGAGAGGACCGGGAUGGACAUACCUCUGGUGUACCAGUUGUCGUGCCAACGGCAUAGCUGGGUAGCUAUGUGUGGACGGGAUAAGUGCUGAAAGCAUCUAAGCAUGAAGCCCCCCUCAAGAUGAGAUUUCCCAACUUCGGUUAUAAGAUCCCUCAAAGAUGAUGAGGUUAAUAGGUUCGAGGUGGAAGCAUGGUGACAUGUGGAGCUGACGAAUACUAAUCGAUCGAAGACUUAAUCAA
rnacentral:rRNA from 1 species